CCCCCCUUAACCAUGGUCACCUGGUGGGGGGGGUACUUGAGCUUUUAGUGGCGCAGCUAACGCAUUAAGUUGACCGCCUGGGGAGUACGGCCGCAAGGUUAAAACUCAAAUGAAUUGACGGGGGCCCGCACAAGCGGUGGAGCAUGUGGUUUAAUUCUAUCCAACCCGCACAACCUUACCAGGACUGGUCAUCCAAUGAACUUUCUCUCCUUGAAUUGAGCCCCUUACGGAACAC
rnacentral:rRNA from 1 species